GUAGGGAAUCUUCCACAAUGGACGCAAGUCUGAUGGAGCAACGCCGCGUGAGUGAAGAAGGUUUUCGGAUCGUAAAGCUCUGUUGUUGGUGAAGAAGGAUAGAGGCAGUAACUGGUCUUUAUUUGACGGUAAUCAACCAGAAAGUCACGGCUAACUACGUGCCAGCAGCCGCGGUAAUACGUAGGUGGCAAGCGUUGUCCGGAUUUAUUGGGCGUAAAGCGAGCGCAGGCGGAAUGAUAAGUCUGAUGUGAAAGCCCACGGCUCAACCGUGGAACUGCAUCGGAAACUGUCAUUCUUGAGUGCAGAAGAGGAGAGUGGAACUCCAUGUGUAGCGGUGGAAUGCGUAGAUAUAUGGAAGAACACCAGUGGCGAAGGCGGCUCUCUGGUCUGCAACUGACGCUGAGGCUCGAAAGCAUGGGUAGCGAACAGGAUUAGAUACCCCGGUAGUCC
rnacentral:rRNA from 1 species